rnacentral:rRNA from 1 species
UACAGAGGUCUCAAGCGUUGUUCGGAUUUAUUGGGCGUAAAGGGUGCGUAGGUGGCGCGCUAAGUCAGGUGUGAAAUUUCGGAGCUUAACUCCGAAACUGCAUUUGAUACUGGCGUGCUUGAGGACUGGAGAGGAGACUGGAAUUCAUGGUGUAGCAGUGAAAUGCGUAGAGAUGUGGAGGAACACCGAUGGCGAAGGCAGCCUCCUGGGCCAGCACUGACGCUCAUGCACGAAAGCGUGGGGAGCAAACAGG